UUAAGUUAUUAAGGGCGCACGGUGGAUGCCUUGGCACUAGAAGCCGAUGAAGGACGUUACUAACGACGAUAUGCUUUGGGGAGCUGUAAGUAAGCUUUGAUCCAGAGAUUUCCGAAUGGGGAAACCCAGCAUGAGUUAUGUCAUGUUAUCGAUAUGUGAAUACAUAGCAUAUCAGAAGGCACACCCGGAGAACUGAAACAUCUUAGUACCCGGAGGAAGAGAAAGAAAAUUCGAUUCCCUUAGUAGCGGCGAGCGAAACGGGAAGAGCCCAAACCAACAAGCUUGCUUGUUGGGGUUGUAGGACACUCUAUACGGAGUUACAAAGGACGACAUUAGACGAAUCAUCUGGAAAGAUGAAUCAAAGAAGGUAAUAAUCCUGUAGUCGAAAAUGUUGUCUCUCUUGAGUGGAUCCUGAGUACGACGGAGCACGUGAAAUUCCGUCGGAAUCUGGGAGGACCAUCUCCUAAGGCUAAAUACUCUCUAGUGACCGAUAGUGAACCAGUACCGUGAGGGAAAGGUGAAAAGCACCCCGGAAGGGGAGUGAAAUAGAACCUGAAACCGUGUGCUUACAAGUAGUCAGAGCCCGUUAAUGGGUGAUGGCGUGCCUUUUGUAGAAUGAACCGGCGAGUUACGAUUUGAUGCAAGGUUAAGCAGUAAAUGUGGAGCCGUAGCGAAAGCGAGUCUGAAUAGGGCGUUUAGUAUUUGGUCGUAGACCCGAAACCAGGUGAUCUACCCUUGGUCAGGUUGAAGUUCAGGUAACACUGAAUGGAGGACCGAACCGACUUACGUUGAAAAGUGAGCGGAUGAACUGAGGGUAGCGGAGAAAUUCCAAUCGAACCUGGAGAUAGCUGGUUCUCUCCGAAAUAGCUUUAGGGCUAGCCUCAAGUGAUGAUUAUUGGAGGUAGAGCACUGUUUGGACGAGGGGCCCCUCUCGGGUUACCGAAUUCAGACAAACUCCGAAUGCCAAUUAAUUUAACUUGGGAGUCAGAACAUGGGUGAUAAGGUCCGUGUUCGAAAGGGAAACAGCCCAGACCACCAGCUAAGGUCCCAAAAUAUAUGUUAAGUGGAAAAGGAUGUGGCGUUGCCCAGACAACUAGGAUGUUGGCUUAGAAGCAGCCAUCAUUUAAAGAGUGCGUAAUAGCUCACUAGUCGAGUGACACUGCGCCGAAAAUGUACCGGGGCUAAACAUNNUUACCGAAGCUGUGGAUUGUCCUUUGGACAAUGGUAGGAGAGCGUUCUAAGGGCGUUGAAGCAUGAUCGUAAGGACAUGUGGAGCGCUUAGAAGUGAGAAUGCCGGUGUGAGUAGCGAAAGACGGGUGAGAAUCCCGUCCACCGAUUGACUAAGGUUUCCAGAGGAAGGCUCGUCCGCUCUGGGUUAGUCGGGUCCUAAGCUGAGGCCGACAGGCGUAGGCGAUGGAUAACAGGUUGAUAUUCCUGUACCACCUAUAAUCGUUUUAAUCGAUGGGGGGACGCAGUAGGAUAGGCGAAGCGUGCGAUUGGAUUGCACGUCUAAGCAGUAAGGCUGAGUAUUAGGCAAAUCCGGUACUCGUUAAGGCUGAGCUGUGAUGGGGAGAAGACAUUGUGUCUUCGAGUCGUUGAUUUCACACUGCCGAGAAAAGCCUCUAGAUAGAAAAUAGGUGCCCGUACCGCAAACCGACACAGGUAGUCAAGAUGAGAAUUCUAAGGUGAGCGAGCGAACUCUCGUUAAGGAACUCGGCAAAAUGACCCCGUAACUUCGGGAGAAGGGGUGCUCUUUAGGGUUAACGCCCAGAAGAGCCGCAGUGAAUAGGCCCAAGCGACUGUUUAUCAAAAACACAGGUCUCUGCUAAACCGUAAGGUGAUGUAUAGGGGCUGACGCCUGCCCGGUGCUGGAAGGUUAAGAGGAGUGGUUAGCUUCUGCGAAGCUACGAAUCGAAGCCCCAGUAAACGGCGGCCGUAACUAUAACGGUCCUAAGGUAGCGAAAUUCCUUGUCGGGUAAGUUCCGACCCGCACGAAAGGCGUAACGAUUUGGGCACUGUCUCAACGAGAGACUCGGUGAAAUCAUAGUACCUGUGAAGAUGCAGGUUACCCGCGACAGGACGGAAAGACCCCGUGGAGCUUUACUGUAGCCUGAUAUUGAAAUUCGGCACAGCUUGUACAGGAUAGGUAGGAGCCUUUGAAACGUGAGCGCUAGCUUACGUGGAGGCGCUGGUGGGAUACUACCCUAGCUGUGUUGGCUUUCUAACCCGCACCACUUAUCGUGGUGGGAGACAGUGUCAGGCGGGCAGUUUGACUGGGGCGGUCGCCUCCUAAAAGGUAACGGAGGCGCUCAAAGGUUCCCUCAGAAUGGUUGGAAAUCAUUCAUAGAGUGUAAAGGCAUAAGGGAGCUUGACUGCGAGACCUACAAGUCGAGCAGGGUCGAAAGACGGACUUAGUGAUCCGGUGGUUCCGCAUGGAAGGGCCAUCGCUCAACGGAUAAAAGCUACCCCGGGGAUAACAGGCUUAUCUCCCCCAAGAGUUCACAUCGACGGGGAGGUUUGGCACCUCGAUGUCGGCUCAUCGCAUCCUGGGGCUGUAGUCGGUCCCAAGGGUUGGGCUGUUCGCCCAUUAAAGCGGUACGCGAGCUGGGUUCAGAACGUCGUGAGACAGUUCGGUCCCUAUCCGUCGUGGGCGUAGGAAAUUUGAGAGGAGCUGUCCUUAGUACGAGAGGACCGGGAUGGACAUACCUCUGGUGUACCAGUUGUCGUGCCAACGGCAUAGCUGGGUAGCUAUGUGUGGACGGGAUAAGUGCUGAAAGCAUCUAAGCAUGAAGCCCCCCUCAAGAUGAGAUUUCCCAACUUCGGUUAUAAGAUCCCUCAAAGAUGAUGAGGUUAAUAGGUUCGAGGUGGAAGCAUGGUGACAUGUGGAGCUGACGAAUACUAAUCGAUCGAAGACUUAAUCAA
rnacentral:rRNA from 1 species